UACGGGGGGGGCUAGCGUUGUUCGGAAUUACUGGGCGUAAAGCGCACGUAGGCGGCUUUGUAAGUUAGAGGUGAAAGCCCGGGGCUCAACUCCGGAAUUGCCUUUAAGACUGCAUCGCUAGAAUUGUGGAGAGGUAAGUGGAAUUCCGAGUGUAGAGGUGAAAUUCGUAGAUAUUCGGAAGAACACCAGUGGCGAAGGCGACUUACUGGACACAUAUUGACGCUGAGGUGCGAAAGCGAGGGGAGCAAACAGG
rnacentral:rRNA from 1 species